rnacentral:rRNA from 1 species
GACGAACGCUGGCGGCGUGCCUAAUACAUGCAAGUAGAACGCAGUUGCGAAGGGGUGAGUGACACGUAGGUAAAUGCCUCAUAGCGGGGGGUAACUAAUGGAAACGAUAGCUAAUACCGCCUACUGGGAGAUGGACCUGCGUUGGAUUAGCUCGGUGGUGAGGUAAAGGCUCACCAAGGCGACGAUACAUAGCCGACCGUGGAGGGUUAUACGCCACACCGGGACCUGGACACGGGCCAGACUCCUACGGGAGGCAGCAGGUGGGAAUCUUCGGAAAUGGGGGGCAGGCCUACCGAGGAACUCCGGGUUGGUGAAGAAAGGUUUCGGAUCUUAAAGCUCUUUUGUUCGAGAAGCGUUACCUACCCAGAAAGGGACGGCUAACUACGUGCCAGCAGCCGCGGUAAUAC